rnacentral:rRNA from 1 species
GACGAACGCUGGCGGCGUGCUUAACACAUGCAAGUCGAACGGAAAGGCCCUGCUUUUGUGGGGUGCUCGAGUGGCGAACGGGUGAGUAACACGUGAGUAACCUGCCUUUGACUUUGGGAUAACUUCAGGAAACUGGGGCUAAUACCGGAUAGGAGCUCCUGCUGCAUGGUGGGGGUUGGAAAGUUUCGGCGGUUGGGGAUGGACUCGCGGCUUAUCAGCUUGUUGGUGGGGUAGUGGCUUACCAAGGCUUUGACGGGUAGCCGGCCUGAGAGGGUGACCGGCCACAUUGGGACUGAGAUACGGCCCAGACUCCUACGGGAGGCAGCAGUGGGGAAUAUUGCACAAUGGGCGGAAGCCUGAUGCAGCAACGCCGCGUGCGGGAUGACGGGCUUCGGGUUGUAAACCGCUUUCGCCUGUGACGAAGCGUGAGUGACGGUAAUGGGUAAAGAAGCACCGGCUAACUACGUG